GGAGUCUGGGCCGUAUCUCAGUCCCAAUGUGGCCGUUCAACCUCUCAGUCCGGCUACUGAUCGUCGCCUUGGUAGGCCUUUACCCCACCAACUAGCUAAUCAGACGCAAGCCCAUCUAUCAGCGGAUUUCUCCUUUCCCUAUUGUAACAUGUGUUACUUAGGCAUAUGCGGUAUUAGCAGUCAUUUCUAACUGUUGUUCCCCUCUGAUAGGCAGGUUGCUUACGUGUUACUCACCAGUCCGCCACUAAAGCCAUUGCUAUAAUUCUUCUUCAAGUCCCUUUGAACAAGUUCUCCGUUCAUUUCCAAAUCAGUAUAACGACUUCCGUUCGACUUGCAUGUCUUAUGUGCGCCGCCAGCGUUUAUC
rnacentral:rRNA from 1 species